rnacentral:rRNA from 1 species
CUACGUGCCAGCAGCCGCGGUAAUACGUAGGUGGCAAGCGUUGUUCGGAAUAACUGGGCGUAAAGGAUGCGUAGGCGGUUGAGUAAGUUAUGUGUUAAAUAUAUAGGCUUAACCUGUAGAAAGCACAUAAAACUGUUUAACUAGAGUGCAGGAGAGGUAAGUGGAAUUCCUAGUGUAGCGGUGAAAUGCGUAGAGAUUAGGAAGAACACCAGUGGCGAAGGCGACUUACUGGACUGUAACUGACGCUGAGGCUCGAAAGCGUGGGGAGCA